CCAAGAAACUUCCACAAUGGGCGAAAGCCUGAUGGAGCGACGUCGCGUGAUGGACGAAGUGCUUCGGCACGUAAACAUCUUUUAUGUGGGAUGAAAUUAUUGACAGUACCACAUGAAUAAGGGGCUCCUAACUCUGUGCCAGCAGGAGCGAUAAUACAGAGGCCCCAAGCGUUAUCCGGAAUCACUGGGCGUAAAGGGUGUCGAGGCGGUUGUAUUAGUCGUUCGUAAAAUCUACGAGCUUAACUUGUAGGCGGCGAACGAAACGGUACGACUUGAGGUUUGGAGAGGUGCGUGGAACUCACGGUGUAGGGGUGAAAUCCGUUGAUAUCGUGGGGAACACCAAAGGCGAAGGCAGCGCACUGGCCAAAAUCUGACGCUCACACACGAAAGCUAGGGUAGCGAAGAGGAUUAGAUACCCCCGUAGUCCCUGAGCGGGCUGGCAAGGCGCAU
rnacentral:rRNA from 1 species